rnacentral:rRNA from 1 species
UGGAUGAUGUGGUUUAAUUCGAUGCAACGCGAAAACCUUACCCACCUUUGACAUGUACGGAACCUUUAGAGAUAGAGGGGUGCUCGAAAGAGAGCCGUAACACAGGUGCUGCAUGGCUGUCGUCAGCUCGUGUCGUGAGAUGUUGGGUUAAGUCCCGCAACGAGCGCAACCCUUGUCAUUAGUUGCUACAUUCAGUUGGGCACUCUAAUGAGACUGCCGGUGACAAGCCGGAGGAAGGUGGGGAUGACGUCAAGUCCUCAUGGCCCUUAUAGGUGGGGCUACACACGUCAUACAAUGGCUGGUACAAAGGGUUGCCAACCCGCGAGGGGGAGCUAAUCCCAUAAAGCCAGUCGUAGUCCGGAUCGUAGUCUGCAACUCGACUACGUGAAGUCGGAAUCGCUAGUAAUCGUGGAUCAGAAUGUCACGGUGAAUACGUUCCCGGGUCUU